rnacentral:tRNA from 1 species
GCCAGUAUGACAUAGCGGUUUGAGUGUUGGACUACGACUCAGGAUACCAGGGUUCAAUUCCCAGCUCAGCCA